AGAGUUUGAUUCUGGCUCAGGAUGAACGCUGGCGGCGUGCUUAACACAUGCAAGUCGAACGGAGUUAAGCGCUGAAUGAGGCUUCGGCGGAUUUCUUGCUUAACUUAGUGGCGGACGGGUGAGUAACGCGUGAGUAACCUGCCCUCGAGUGGGGAAUAACGUUCUGAAAAGAACGCUAAUACCGCAUAAUAUAUGUUUGUCGCAUGGCAGACAUAUCAAAGAUUUAUCGCUCGAGGAUGGACUCGCGUCCGAUUAGCUUGUUGGUGGGGUAACGGCCCACCAAGGCGACGAUCGGUAGCCGGACUGAGAGGUUGAACGGCCACAUUGGGACUGAGACACGGCCCAGACUCCUACGGGAGGCAGCAGUGGGGGAUAUUGCGCAAAUGGGGGAAACCCUGACGCAGCAACGCCGCGUGGAGGAUGACGGUUUUCGGAUUGUAAACUCCUUUUAUAAGGGACGAACUAAGACGGUACCUUAUGAAUAAGCUCCGGCUAACUACGUGCCAGCCGCAGC
rnacentral:rRNA from 1 species